rnacentral:guide_RNA from 1 species
AAAACUACCAAAUAAUAAGCAAGUAAGUUUCAAUGAGUGAU